GUACACAAGCAGUUUCUUUGGUUCGCAUCCAUGAAGGACACACGUGCCACCGACGCCUCCAGUGGUCUCGAAUGAAAUGGUGCCAAAGGGUAGCUCACAGAUGGCAACAGAAGCACCGAAAUUGCAGCAAAGCGGGAGGCACAGACACCUCCACUGCCAGCGCCGAUUGUAAAGAGGUCAAAAUUGUAGUGGCGAGUGGACUCGGCUCCAUUAUCGGAGUCAGAGAGAACAGUGAAAUGGGCGAGGAUGGGGAUGGGAGGGAGAGAGAGAGAGAAAGGGGACGAGGAGGGAGAGAGGAUAGGGAUUUGGGAGGAGAGAGAUUGCGACAGGGAACUUCCUGUAGAGGGAUUGAAGAGUAGGAGAGGUAAGUUUAGGAGUAGCGAGAGAAGUAGGUGCUGCCAUGUUUGGGCGGGGAAGGUUUGCGUAUUUGUUAUUUCAGUUCUUUUGGCGGUCAUAAAUAUACCUUGCGCCUUGUGGAAGAAGACAGUUUAUAGACAGUUCAUCGGGUG
rnacentral:misc_RNA from 1 species